GCCGCAAUUUGAACACAAGCGGACGUCCAGCCGCCGUCGAUGGCGGCGUGAUUUAUUCCAUCAACAGAGCUAAUAUUAAUACGGCGCACUUCAUAUUCGUGAUGAACGACACUGCUGUUCCAAACUCCAUUGCGAUAUGAGGCACAGCUUGAGCGCUACAUUUGUUAUUCACCCUCGGUCCUCAAUGUAAAAGAUCUGCCACCGUCCUGCCGAAGCACCACCGGCCUCGCGAUGGGCGCUCUACUGCUACUAUUUCAUGCGAACGUGACGGAAAUCGUAAUUCAAAGUUGUAUUACAAAGAUAUGAACGUCAUAUUGACGGAACGAUUUAUGACAAAAAAUUUAUGUAAAUGUUUCGAAACUG